AACGAACGCUGGCGGCAUGCCUAACACAUGCAAGUCGAACGAGACCUUCGGGUCUAGUGGCGCACGGGUGCGUAACGCGUGGGAACCUGCCCUUAGGUUCGGAAUAACUCUCCGAAAGGGGUGCUAAUACCGGAUAAUGUCUUCGGACCAAAGAUUUAUCGCCUUUGGAUGGGCCCGCGUUGGAUUAGCUAGUUGGUAGGGUAAAAGCCUACCAAGGCGACGCUCCAUAGCUGGUCUGAGAGGAUGAUCAGCCACACUGGGACUGAGACACGGCCCAGACUCCUACGGGAGGCAGCAGUGGGUAAUAUUGGACAAUGGGCGAAAUCCUGAUCCAGCAAUGCCGCGUGAGUGAUGAAGGCCUGAGGGUUGUAAAGCUCUUUUACCCGGGAUGAUAAUGACAGUACCGGGAGAAUAAGCUCCGGCUAACUCCGUG
rnacentral:rRNA from 1 species